rnacentral:rRNA from 1 species
GACGUGGGGGGCGAGCGUUGUCCGGAAUUAUUGGGCGUAAAGCGCGCGUAGGCGGCUCGGAAAGUCGGAUGUGAAAAUCCGGGGCUCAACCCCGGACCUGCAUCCGAUACUCCCGAGCUGGAGGCAGGCAGGGGAGAUCGGGAAUUCCUGGUGUAGCGGUUGAAAUGCGCAGGAUAAUCAGGAGGAACACCGGUGGCGAAAGGGCGG